CGAGAAAGCCCGCAAGGGUGAGUACAGUGGCGUACGGGUGAGUAACACGAGGAUCAUCUACCUUUUAGUGGGGAAUACCGUUGGGAAACCGACGACAAUACCGCAUAAUCCCGAGAGGGGAAAGCAGCAAUGCGCUGAAAGAGGAGUCCGCGGCUGAUUAGCUAGUUGGCAGGGUAAUGGCCUACCAAGGCAACGAUCAGUAGCCGGCCUGAGAGGGCACACGGCCACACUGGCACUGAAACACGGGCCAGACUCCUACGGGAGGCAGCAGUGGGGAAUCUUGCACAAUGGGGGCAACCCUGAUGCAGCGACGCCGCGUGAGCGAUGAAGCCCUUCGGGGUGUAAAGCUCUUUCGGCAGGGAAGAUGAUGACGGUACCUGCAGAAGCAGCUGCGGCUAACUACGUGCCAGCAGCCGCGGUAAUACGUAGGCAGCAAGCGUUGUUCGGAGUUACUGGGCGUAAAGGGUGUGUAGGCGGUUCCCUAAGUUUGGUGUGAGAUCUCCCGGCUUAACCGGGAGGGUGCGCCGAAAACUGGGGAGCUAGAGUGUGGGAGAGGAAAGUGGAAUUCCUGGUGUAGCGGUGAAAUGCGUAGAUAUCAGGAGGAACACCUGCGGUGUAGACGGCUUUCUGGACCAUAACUGACGCUGAGACACGAAAGCGUGGGUAGCAAACAGGAUUAGAUACCCUGGUAGUCCACGCCCUAAACGAUGCAUAUUUGGUGUGGGCGAUUCAUUUCGUCCGUGCCGGAGCUAACGCGUUAAAUAUGCCGCCUGGGGAGUACAGUCGCAAGGCUGAAACUCAAAGGAAUUGACGGGGGCCCGCACAAGCGGUGGAGCAUGUGGUUUAAUUC
rnacentral:rRNA from 1 species